GUGACAUUCAAGUACAAACACAGACAGAAAUGAGGGAAGUAAUCAUGGCCUCUCAUAGGGAAGAGCAUUUCAGGCAGAGGAAACAGGAAAUGUGUGGUGUGUUCAGCGAAUAGCAAGCAGGCCGUGUGGCCACCACAGUGAGCACAGUGGAAAGCAAAAGGAGAUGUGUCCCAGGAUAAUGGGGAACCAGGUUAUGGCGGGCCUCCUAAGCUAUUGUACAGCCUGACUUUCGCUCUGAAUGAGAUGGAAAGCUCUGCCGAGCUCUGAGCAGAAGAACGGCCUGUUCUGACUUCUGGACCACCCUGGUUGCUGUUUGAGAAUGGACUGUAACAGGGGCAAGAGUGGAGGCAGGGAGGCCGGCCAGGAGGCUGCUGCAGUGAUCCAGAUAAGAGGGAAUGUUGAUUCAGCCCGCGAUGGUUUCAUCUCUAAGAUACUAAUUUGGAAAACAAAAGCGGCCAGAGGGACCGAACAUCCCUAUCUCAGGAGAGGAAGUUUUCCGUACAUGGAUCUUUCUAAGUGUGUCUGAAUCAAAGAAGAUUGCUUCAUGGCAAGGCAUACUUCUCCCCCCCCCCCCGUUGCCAUGGAAACGGCACUGUGCUCAUGUAUUGGCAGCAUGCGUGUACACACAAACACACACGCGCACUAUAUAUUCAUAUAUUCUCCGGGAAACGCUUUUUAUGCCUUCUCCUUCUGGUGUUCUUUAGAAUUCUAAAAGAUACAUUCAGAGCCAAAAAUUUUAAUUUUACUAAUUCUUGCCAUCCUGUUGUUAUUGAG
rnacentral:lncRNA from 1 species